rnacentral:tRNA from 1 species
GGUUGUGGCUCAGUGGUAGAGUGCUUGCCUAGCACACAUGAGGCACUGGAUUCGAUCCCCAGCACCA